UUAGAAUCACACGGAAACAGCCAUGGGUGGUUCCAGUGCUCCUAUUUGAAGCGUGUGUAAUAAAAAGCUGGAUCAUAGGGAAGAGAGCUACAUCUGGAAAAUGCACUGCGCACAAUGUCUGUGUUCUGCACUGUGAAAGCUGAGUCCAGAGACAAUUUAAAGGAAAAUAAUUGCAGAAAACAAAUAAAGAAAAGGAGCCUGAAAGAAUACUUAGAGAUUUUGAAACAAAAAGUGUGAAACAAAUCCUUCUCUUGCUCACGCCACCGAAUUGUGCAACAUGAUACAUGAAGUACAUGAUGCCAGCACAACUGUGUUUGCAACUGUUACCUGUUUCAAACUUUCUAAGAAUUAACUCUGGGGGUUGGCUGUAAGUACUUUGUCUAAUAUCAUUAGCUGUCUUUCUACAUGUAGUUGUAUUUCUUAUAAAAGUCUAACUCCUAGAUGAAACUUUUUCAUCAUUAGGGCUUUAAAUGCCUGAUUAAUGGUUUAGUUGCA
rnacentral:lncRNA from 12 species